AACGAACGCUGGCGGCAUGCCUAACACAUGCAAGUCGAACGAAGUCUUCGGACUUAGUGGCGCACGGGUGCGUAACGCGUGGGAAUCUGCCCUUGGGUGCGGAAUAACUUCUCGAAAGGGAUGCUAAUACCGCAUAAUGUCGUAAGACCAAAGAUUUAUCGCCCAAGGAUGUGCCCGCGUAAGAUUAGCUAGUUGGUGGGGUAAAAGCCUACCAAGGCGACGAUCUUUAGCUGGUCUGAGAGGAUGAUCAGCCACACUGGGACUGAGACACGGCCCAGACUCCUACGGGAGGCAGCAGUGGGGAAUAUUGGACAAUGGGCGAAAGCCUGAUCCAGCAAUGCCGCGUGAGUGAUGAAGGCCCUAGGGUUGUAAAGCUCUUUUACCAGGGAUGAUAAUGACAGUACCUGGAGAAUAAGCUCCGGCUAACUCCGUGCCAGCAGCCGCGGUAAU
rnacentral:rRNA from 1 species